GAAAACUUCAAGGAGCUUCUCGUGUUUCUGGCAGAUCAUCUCCUGCAGUCGUCCAGUGGCUUCUGUCAAUUUGUGUCUCUUUCCUCUAAACCAACUCUCAUGUUCUUCGAGGUGAUUCUGACAGUAAGAGUUCAGACACAUCAGACAGGACUUGACAGCUUUGUAUUUUCUUCCAGUACAUACGUCACACUGCACAUCUCCAUCUCCAGCAUCACAGUCAUCAGGACGUUUCCUCUUCUUCAGUUUCUCCACCACUUCAGCCAGCAUGGUGUUUCUAGAUAAAGCAGGUCUUGGACUGAAAGUCUGUCUGCACUGAGGACAGCUGUAGACUCUCUUCUGAUCCUCCUGAUCCCAGCAGUCUGUAAUACAGAUCUUACAGUAACUGUGUCCACACUGGAUGGUCACUGGAUCCUUCAGGAGAUCCAGACACACUG